rnacentral:lncRNA from 1 species
AUCCUCUCCCCUGCUCUUCACGCCUAAAUUUCCCCUUUCAAUCUUCGAUUCAGACGAAGCAUAGCAAGGGCAUCGACGGCGCGCCAGCACUGGUAAGAACCUCUUCUCUUCCUCUUUACUUUCGUUUUGCACACCCAGGAAAAUAAAAAACAAAGAAAUAACAAAGAAAGCGAUAAAAAAAUGAAGAAAAUCACCUUCAAAAUCAGACUGCUAUAUUUUAUUCCCUUUUGUACUUCGGUUUACACUUGAUUUCUUUCUCUUUUUUUUGUUUCAAUCUGCCCUCCAAAUAAAAAAAAAAGAAAAAACUCUUGAAAAUGGAUCCAUUUUUAUAUCCAAUCCCCCCAGAAAAAACAAACCAUAUUUUCCUAUAAUCCUAUUGCCCUCCUUGCUGUUCGUAGCUUGUUGCAGGUACCACUAGCGAGAAGACGUGUGCAGCGUGCGCAGAGGCUACUGAACGUGGGCAGUUGCUGCAACGUGGGGCAUGUGGCGCCGGUUUGCUGCUAACCACUUAGGGUUUCUGUGUUUGGCUAAUUUGGGCUAGUGCUAUUGGGCCGAAUGGUAUUGGGUCAUUUGGAUUUGGGUUAUUUGUAAAAAUAGACUGUUUAUUGUAUUUAUUAUUUUUUGAGGUCUAUUUAUUUGGGCCCGGGCUAAAAUGGCCUAUUAUAGCUGCCUCUCUUUGCUCGUUAUCGUGUAACUGGAACAGAGCAAAGACUUUAAAAAUGGCCAAUUUUGCCUGGUCAUGCUGGAUCUUGGUGCUCCUAUUCUUCAAGUAGCCACACUCCAUCCUACUGCAUCUUCAAAGGUAUAGGAAUUGGUGCUUCGAUCCACUCCACUGCAACGUCAGGGAGAUAGGAUUUGUACUUUGUAGCUUCUUAAAAGAACAAAAUUUGCUCUCCUUAGUCUGCUCCACUACAACUUCAGGGAGAUAAGACUUGUAACUUCAACUUAUUCUGCUGCAACUUUAAAGAUAAGUCUGAUACGAUCUACUCUACUGCAACUUCAUAGGAUUGGUUUCUUUUGUCUGCUCUACUACAACUUCAUGGAGAUAAGACUUUAUGCGAUCUGCUCUACUGCAACUUUAGAGAGAUAAGAUCUGUGGUUUUAAUCCGCUCCACUGCAACUUCAGGGAAAUAAGACUGGAUAUGAUCUAUUCUACGACAACUUCAGAGAGAUGAGAUCUGUGGUUUUAAUCCGCUCCACUGCAGCUUCAGAGAGAUAGGAUUGGUACAUUCAAUCUGUUUAACUGCAAUGUCAGGGAAACAAGAUUCGCCGUCGUAGCUUCAAUCUGUUCCAUUGCACAGCCGGGGAAGUAAAAUUCACCGUUGUGGCUUCAAUCUAUUUAAUUGCAAUGUCGGGGAAACAAGAUUCGUCGUCGUAGCUUCAAUCUAUUCCACUACACUACCAGGGAAGUAAAAUUCGCCGUUGUGGCUUCAAUCUAUUCCACUGUAAUGCCAAAGAGAUAGGAUUCACUGCCCACAGCUUUAAUCUAUUCCACUUCAGCUAAUCCAAGUCUUAACGCCAGGGAGAUGAGAUUCGUCGUCGUGGCUUCAAUCUGCUCCGCUCCAACGCUAAAGAAGUAAGAUUCGCCGUUGUGGCUUCAAUCUAUUCCAUUACAACGUCAAGGCGAUAAGACUGGUGUCUUCGAUCUGCUUCACUGCCAGUACAGGAAGGCAAGAUCUGCCAUUUUCAACCUACUCCAUUGCUGCUCAGGGAGACAAGACUGGUAUCUUCGAUCUACUUCGCUGCCAAUACAAGAAGACAAGAUCUGCUAUUUUCAACCUACUCCACUGCUGCUCAAGGAGAUAAGGCUGAAGUUUCACCAGUUUGUUUUCUGGGGAACAUGUCCUGUAUAAUUCAAUCUAUGAACCUAAUUAUGCCUAGUGAUUAGGAUGUCUUGAUCAAAAUGAAUCAAAUGCUCCUAACUAGACGUGUAUGAAUGACAUUUGAAUGAAUGUAGAAUUUUUUUUUCCGAGAAUGAUCCCGCUUAGGUUAUCAUUACUCAAAGUUUAUUAAGAUUUUAUCACUGACGUGCUACAACACAUUCUUGCUUGGCUGGCAUCUUUAAUGAAACACUUAAUCAGACUACCCCCACCAUAAACUUCAAAGUUUAAUCCACUAAGACACAAAAUUUGUAUCAUCUUUUCACUGUAACCCAAGGGUAGAAAAACAUGACUUUUCCCAAUCUUCUCUUAUCACAAUGUGAAGCACUUUGGUCUUUUAUACCAUUCUCAGGGUGUCAUACCAGAUGCCUAUGCACAAAUGAAGGAUUUCCUUCUCCGAAGAAACCUCUUCUUAUCGCAAGGUGAUCACUGCUUAUUUGUUCAAUGAAACUUUAUCACCAACACCCCAUCUUGUCAUUUUGUUCAGUUAGUGUUUAGACAACAAAAUUCGAAAGGAUAAUCUUACUUUAGAAUUUUUCUUUUUAGACAUUUCAACCAUUGCACUUGGUGUAUUCUAAACAAUGGCCCUCUUUUAGGUCCCUAUAUUAUUUAAAAACUUCCAGAGUAAUAUGUAAAAAUUCCUUUGUAAAAGUAUUAUUGGCCCAUUAAUCGUUGUUUCAAUGUAAAAUGCUUGAACAAGACUAUCAAAAUGGACAAGAUGAAAUUUAUUGAAAAUAAAAUAUGAGAUAAAUAAAUCAUCAAGAAUAAUAAGAAUAAAAGAAAAAUUGACUGGAAACACGUAUCUUGAAAUAAAAAUAAAGUAUUCCAAGACAACAAAUUUAAUAUAAAUAGUGGGAAGGCUAGGCGCCCCAGAUAUCACAGCUUGAACUUCUCUGUACAGACUUUCUGAAUACCAUUUUGAGUUUGACAAGUGCUUAGAAGACCAACAGAACUCUGUUAAUGCCCCAAGAUGUCGCAUCCCCUUUCCCACUGAUUCAAUCAUAGUAAAAUCACUGGAUGCCCCACUUGAUCAAUAUUUGAGCCACCCUUUUUCGGGUUUUCAACUCAAAUCCCCUUUGGUCUCAAAGCGCCCUUUGUGGGUUUUCGCCUUAGCCUCUCCCCUUUUUUUUUUAAGAAAAGUACUUCUUAACCGAAUCUGAGUUUACAGGGUUUGGUAAAUCCUUGUCAUCCAUCUCACUCAAGAUCAAAGCUCCCCUAGAAAAGGCUUUCUUUACUACAUAUGGACCUUCCCAAUUUGGCAUCCAUUUUCCUCUAAAAUCCCUUUGUAUAAGAAGGAUCUUUUUCAACACUAGCUCCCCCUCGUGGAAUUCUCUGGGAUGAACUUUUUUAUUGUAGGCACGCAUCAUUCACCUUUGAUACAUCUAACCGUGCUGAAUAGCCUUUAGCCUUUUUCCUUCUAUUAAGUUCAACUGAUCAUAACGAGAUUGAACCUAUUCCGCCUUAUCCAAUUUCAACUUAGCUAAUACCCGGAGAGAAGGAAUUUCCACCUCAAUAAGUAAAACUGCUUCCAUCCCAUAAACCAGAGAGAAAGGUGUUGCCCCGGUCGAAGUCCUGACAGACGUUCUAUAAGCAAAGAGGGCCCAUGGUAAUUUCUCAUGCCAGUCUUUGUAAGUCUCAGUCAUCUUUCCCACAAUUUUCUUGAUAUUCUUAUUGGCUAAUUCUACUGAGCCAUUCAUUUUUAGGCGAUAUGGUGACGAGUUAUGAUGUCUGAUCUUAAAUUGACUACAGACCUCCACUAUCGCACUAUUGUUCAAAUUCAGUGCAUUAUCGGAUAUGAUCCUCUCAGGCAUUCCAUAUCGACAUAUGAUCUCCUUUUUCAAGAAUCUGCUAACUGCUGACUUCGUGAAAUUUGUAUAUGAAGUAACUUCCACUUAUUUAGUAAAGUAGUCAAUAACCACAAAGAUAAAGCGAUGCCCAUUAGAAGCCUUUGGCGAUAUCGGCCCAAUGACGUCCAUACCCCACAUGGAGAAAGGCCAUGGAGAAGUUAUAACAUGAAGAGGUGAAUGAGGUGCAUGCAUUUUAUCACCAUAAAUUUGGCAUUUAUGGUACUUCUUAGCAUAAUUGAUGCAAUCUCUUUCAAUAUUGGACCAGUAGUACCCAAAUCUCAUGAUCUGCCUGGCCAUUGUGAAACCAUUUGCAUGCAUUCCGCAGAUACCUUCAUGGACCUCCUCUAGAAUUUUUCUAGCUUCCACUGCAUCCACACAUCUUAACAGCACCUAAUCCUUUCCUCUUUUGUAUAGAAUCUCCCCAUCCAAGACAUAGUUAAUGGCCACCCUUCUCAAUGCUUUCUUAUCAUUCUCAGUUGCCUGAUCUGGAUACUCAUGAUUUUUUACAUAUUGCGAUAUAUUCAGGUACCAGGGAUGAUCAUCUUUUUCCUCUUCCUCAAUAUUAUAGCAAUGAGCCGGGGUUUCAGAAAUACUCAUCUGAAUAGACCUCAUGUCCUCUAACUUGUUCACUCGGAUCAUAGAGGCUAGGGUGGCCAACGCAUCAGCCAUCUGGUUCUCAUCUCGCGGAAGGUAACAGAAAGUGAUGUCAUCAAACUCGUCCAUCAAUUCAAGAACUAUCCUUCGAUAACUAAUCAGUUUAGGGUCUCUUGUCUCCCAUUCUCUCUUGAGUUGGUAUAUCACCAAUACGGAAUCCCCAUACACUUUUAGUACUUUGAUUUUACGUUCGAUGGCUGCAUGAAUGCCCAUAAUGCAUGCUUUAUAUUCUGCCAUAUUGUUCGUACAAUCAAAAUCUAGUUUUCUAGCAAAAGGAUAAUGAUCUCCGCUUGGAGAUACCAGGACUGUCCCAAUUCCGUUACUUAUAGAAUUCGAGGCUCCAUCAAAACUUAGCUUCCACACAUGAUCCAUUGGGGGAUUUUCUUCAGUGGCUGCCACAUACAUCAAAUCCUCAUUUGGAAAAUCAAAGUUCAAAGGCUCAUAAUCCUCCAAGGCUUUGCUAGCUAAAAAGUCAGCUAUUGCACUCCCUUUCACGGCCUUUUGACUCACAUACAUUAUGUCAAAUUCAGAAAGCAAGAUCUGCCAUCUGGUCAUCCUUCCAUUCAAAGUAGUCGACUCCAUCAUAUACUUUAAGGGGUCUAACUUUGAAAUCAACCAAGUCGUAUGAUACAACAUAUAUUGCCGUAAUCUACGAGUUGUCCAAACCAGGGCACAACAUAACUUCUCGAUAACGAGUACCUCGCUUCACAAUCAGUGAAUUUCUUGCUGAGAUAGUAUAUUGCCCUUUCUUUUCGCCUUGUCUCAUCAUGCUGGCCUAACACACACCCCAUGGAAUUGUCAAACACUGUUAAAUACAGUAUAAUGGCCUAUCCAAACUAGGCGGUGAUAGCACUGGAGUAUUGGACAAGUACCGUUUUAAUUUGUCAAAAGCCUUCUGACAUGCUUCAUCCUAUACACCUGGAUUAUGCUUCUUCAAAAGACGGAAUAUGGGGUCACAUUUCUUAGUUAGUUGUGAAAUAAACCGAGAAAUGUAAUUCAAUCUUCCCAAAAAACCUCGUACUUCUUUUUGAGUGUGUGGUGGAGGUAAAUCUCGUAUUGCCCUAACUUUGUCUGGGUCAACCUCAAUUCCUCUUCCACUGACUAUGAAGCCUAGCAACUUCCCUGAUCUGGCUCCAAAGGUGCACUUUGUUGGAUUAAGCUUGAGCUGGAAAUUUCUUAGUUUCAAAAACAAUUUCCUCAAAACUUGAACAUGCUCCUUUUCUGUUCUGGAUUUUGCAAUCAUAUCAUCAACAUAAACCUCAAUCUCCUUGUGCAUCAUGUCAUGAAACAAAGUCACCAUGGCUCUUUGGUAAGUUGCCCCCGCAUUCUUCAAUCUAAAGGGCAUCACUUUAUAAUAAAACGCUUCCCACAAAGUGAUGAAUGUAGUAUUUCUCAUGUCUUUCGGAUGCAUCUUUAUUUGAUUGUAUCCAGAAAAGCCAUCCAUUAAAGAAAAUAGUGAAUAGCCUAUCGUAUUAUCCACCAAAGUAUCAAUGUGAGGCAACGAAAAAAUAUCUUUUGGACUAGCCCUGUUCAAAUCCUUGUAAUCCACACACAUUCGUACCUUCCCAUCUUUUUUAGGGACAGGAACAACGUUGGCUACCCAUUCUGAAUAUUUGACUUCUUGCAAGAACCCUGCAUCAAACUGCUUUAUGACUUCUUCUUUACCUCAUUUCCCUCCUCAAGGCUCACAAUCUCCAAUGAUUCUUUGUGAGGUAGGAUUUGUUUAUCCUCUUGUUCUACCAUUCUCAAUAAGUCCGGAGAUACCCCAUAGUCUACGCCAUCUUCAAAAUCAUGUGUUCCCUCUAAACACAUGUCUUGCUCAAAAGGGGAUUCUAAGUUUGAAGCAGCGUCAUUCAUAUCAUUGAUAUCUAGGGACCUAUAGUAGGUGUCAGAGAAUAUACAAAGAAUGUAUGAAUUUAUGAAAAAAUAUGAUUAUGAAUGAAUAAAAUAAUGAUGUGGAAAAAGAAUAAAAGAAUAAAAGAAUAAUUACUCGAAAAAGAAUGAAAAGACUACUGGCUCAAAAAUGAAUACGAAAAGUGUAUUUAUUAGAACCAUAACGUUCAACAUGUGCAUAUUCCAUAAAGAAAUUCAACAUGUGCAUAUUCUGAACAUUUACUCUGAACAAGCUCUAAAAACUAUAGGAAUCUCUUUCGUAGUUCAAUUGUUUAGCUCACUUCCAGGUUCAUAAGGGCGAAUCUCUAGUAAUGUCUUUCUCUCAAUUGUGUCUAUGGCAUUGAUGUGAACCUCUCCCAACAUUUUUUCAAGACCUUCCUCUUUAAGUAUUCUUUGUUCAGGAUAAAUGACCCCCCUGAUUCAAAGGUUUGGGAUAUGUGAGGAAAAACCAUAUGCUCCCACUUAACUUCAUCUCCAAUUAGGCGUGCCCUUCUCCUCUCACGUCUUUUUUCUAUUUCUCUUCUCCUUUGUUUUAUGUCUGGUCUAUAGUCUAGACCAAAACGAUCAAACUUAUCUUUCAUUACUGGUGCCUCAACUCAUCCUUGCAGAUGUCUUCCCAAUCCUUUUCUCGAUACAGCUCAUCUUCCCACUAUUAAUUGGAGACCCAUUUUUAUGGUCUUGGAUAUCUUUGGCACUGGGAUUCUAUUCCCCUCAGCAAUAAAUGUUGCAUUUACGAGCUCUAGAGAUCAGAAAGAACAUUCCACCGCCUCUUCAUCAGUCUCCACGUAUGGUACAUUAUUGGUUAUUGAUGCGAUAAUACCCUCCUCGACGUUUAUUGUCACCAACCGUCCCUCUGACACUAACUUCAACUUCUGAUGCAGCGAUGAAGGCACAGCCUUUGCCGAGUGUAUCCAAGGUCUCCCCAACAAACAGUUAUAGGAAGGCUUGAUAUCCAUUACAAUGAACUCUAUUUCAUAAGUAUUUGGGCCAAUCAGCAAUGGUAUCUCAAUUCUCCUCAUAGCUUUCCUUUCUGUUCUAUCGAACACCCUUACUACAUUUUGACACGUUUUCAGAUGUGAGCUAUCCAUAGGUAGCCUAUUGAGAGUAGAUAAGGGCAAUACAUUUAAUGCGGAUCCAUUAUCAAUAAAAACUCCUGGCAGCAUGUAUCCUUUGCACUGAGUAGUAAUGUGCAGCGCUUUAGUGGACCGCAUACCUCCAGAUGGUAUUUCGUCAUCAUUGAAGAAGAUAAAAUUAUCAACGCUUAUAUAGUUGACCAACCGAUCCAAUUUAUUGACAGAAAUAUCAUUAGCCACAUACGUUUCAUUCAACACCUUCAUCAGCGCAUUUCGAUGCACCUCCGAACUCAUGAGCAAAGCUAACACAGAGAUAUGAGCUGGUUGCUUAUGCAGCUGCUUUACGACACUAUACUCACUAUGUUUCAAAAAUUUCAAGAAUUAAGUGGCUUCUUCCUCUUUUACUGGCUCAUUAAUCGAUGGCCUAGAUUCAACUAUCUUUUCUUUCUUUUGGUCUGCCUAAAAAAAAAUUCCUUCUGCCGACUUUGCUUGGGCAUUUAUCCAAUCGCAGUGCUUCUCACUACACGUAUAAAAACCUGUCACUUGGUUUUCUUUUGCAACACUAACCAAAGCUUCCUUCCCCGAGAUUGUUACAUUGCACUCAUAAUUCCAGGGGACCAUUUUACUAUCCUUAUACGAAAAAUUUGUCGAAAUCUGAAUUACAAUCUUCAGUGUCACCUGUGCCCUUGCCUCGUUAACCUUAGGGCGCGAGAUGAUAACCACAGGAUGAUUAACCUUCAGAAUCUUCGUCAUUGACUUCGAUGCGCAUAUACUUCCUUUUUCCUCAACUUCUUCGAAAAACUUCAUUUCUCUAUUAUCCAUCAUGCUCUGGACCAGAGCUCUGAAUUCUUUACAUCUCUGAAUUUCAUGUCCCACCUCCUAAUAGAACUCACAAUAAUUUUAGGUCUCAUCACCUCCUUCUGAAUUCAAGACGAUUAACCCUCUUCCUGCCAUUUCCUUCCAAACCCACCUCAAAGGAAUUUUUACCUCAGCAAUGCUCUCCUUGACCUUUCUCCCCAUAUUUUCACUCAUCAUGUUUACCCCACUAUCAGUGUGAUUGGGUAACAGAUUUCUUGUACCAGAUGCAUCAUCUACCUUGACAAAGCCCAUACUGAUGAGCUUUUCAACAAACUUUUUAAAAGCUGUACAAUGUUAUAUGGAAUGCCUCGUAAUUCCUACAUGGUAAUCGCAUUGUGUAUUCGCGUCAUACUAUUUAGGAUACGGAGGCUGUAAAGGGGUCAAGUAAAAAGGGGCAACAACGUGUGCGUUGAAUAAAUUCUGAUACAACUCCUUAUAUGACAUUGGAAUUAGUGUGAACUAAGGCCUCUCAGUACUUGGCCUGGCACCAGAUUCUUGUUUUGAUGAACCCUGUUGAUUAGCCACUACCUUUCUAGGCUAAUUCACCGUAAUUGAUUUGUUGUAUAUAUUCACGUUGUUCACCUCACUCUCUUUUUUCUUUGAGGUUUUCCUUCUGUUAUUCUCUCUAACAUCAAUCUUUCCGCUCCUUAUAGCACUUUCAAUUAUCUCACCACUCAUGACUAUGUCAGAAAAGCUUUUUGUAGCACUUUCUAACAUAUGUGUUAUGAAUGGGGCCUUCAGCGUAUUUAUAAAGAGUAUCAUCAUUUCUCUUUCAAAGAGCGGUGGUUGGACCUGAACUACCACCUCCCUCUAUCUCUGAGCAUACUGUCUGAAACCUUUAUUCGACUUCUUCUCCAUGUUUUGCAAGGUAAUUCUAUCAGGAACCAUUUCUGCCACAUGACUGUACUGCUUCAUAAAAGCCUAUGCCAAAUCCCUCCAGGAACUAAUCAUAGCACGGCUCAAUUGAUUAUACCAUUUAGAUGCUGCCCCUGUGAGGCUAUCUUGAAAGCAGUGUAUCAAAAGUUGGUCAUUAUUGACAUAUCCAGUCAUUUGCCUACAAAACAUGGUGAUGUGGGCUUUAGGGCAACUGAUCCCAUUAUACUUCUCGAACUUUGGCAUCUUGAACUUGUAAGGGAUCACCAAACCUGGAACCAAACUCAAAUCCUUAGCAUCAAUCCUACCGUAUCUCUCAGUGCUUUCCAUUGCCUUGAACUUCUCUUCAACCCACUUCCACCUUUCCUCAAAUUGCUUUGGCAAUUCUUCUUUCACUUUUUCCUUUUCAACCGCCUCAUCGAAAUUGAGGACAACAGGAUUGACAGGAUUAUUCUCAGGGCUAGAGCCUGAUCCAGCUUGGUAAUUCAUUGACCUCGAAGCAUCGGCCUGAAACUGCUAAGGCUUAUUGUAACAGAAGAUUUGCGCGGGUAUACUUCAGCUUGGGGCUGUGCAUAUGAGGGAGUAAAGCCUGGAGGAUACAGGGGUCCGUCUUCACCUUUUUUUUCGACAUUAAUCAUAGAGCUCUUUCCUUUAUCCUUUCCUUCAGUCAACAGUCGCGUUAACUGUGUCAUCAUGCUCCCUUGAGAUUCCAUCAUUUUGUCCAUCAUACUCUGCUGGAUCUUCUCGAGCUGCUCCUGCAUUUGCUGCUGAAGUUGAUCUUGCAUUUCUUUUUGGAACUGUUCAAGCUUUUCUAAUCUUUGAUCCAUACUUUUUGAUUUCGCUUAUGUUCUGUAACGGUGUUGGGUUGGCUGGUUAGCUUCCAGAUUAACUGAGGAACGAUUUUGUUUAAUUAGAACCCUUUAAUAGUUUUUAAUGCAUAUUAUGCGAUGUAUGAAAAUGAAUGCAAAAAGGCGUCAAUUCUAAUUUCAAUUACUUUUAGAAAACUUUAAUAGAAAAUAAAUCUCUUUACAUAGAAUGGGCUACAAAUAAGGCUUUGCCCUAAUACUCAAGGUCUUAAUCUUCUUAAGUAACGAGUCCAACUCUUGUCCCCGGUCUGACUCCAAUUCAUACUUCAUGCUCAACGUGUUGGCCUGUACUGCCAAAGCUUGUAGGUGAUCUACUACCUCUCGAAUCUGAACCACAGCUUCUCCCAUAACGUGAUCCCUAUUUCUAACUUGAUUUUGGAAAUAAUGAAGUUGUUCAUUCUGACGACCCUCCUUUGCCUCUAGAUGUUCAAUCCGAACCUCACAAUUUUGCAAUGUUGCUUCUAACCCUUCUAUUUUAUUCUUCAUCUCUUCAAUCUUGCUUAGACUUGCCUUUAGCUCUACUACAGAAUUUUGACUUCUAUGUUGACGAAGAGACCCUUCUAACUCAACCACUCUGUCUUUUAGUUCGCCCUUUUCCUUUUGGCUCUCUGACAAGCUCUUUUCUAAUACUUCAUUUCGUGCUUGAACCUCUUGAAAAUUUCUUUCCCACCAGUCUGACUUAUUUCUUUCUUCUCAAAUUUCUUCACACCACUGCUCUGAAGUUUUUCCAAGCCCGGCAGUUCUCAUUGACAUACGCAGCUUCUUGUAAUCCAUCUUCAAGCUAUCUAGUUCUUCUUCGGCUUUAUUCUUUCCAUUUCUUAGUUUAUCAGCCUCGAGCUUCUGAACAUCCACAUCCAGUCUCAAAUUCACCUUUUCUUCAUCUAUUUCCUCUAUUUUCUUCUUUAAUUUUGCAUUUCUUCUUUCAAAGUCCUGCUUUAUGAUUUCCAACUCAGAAGAGACAACACGCAAAUGCUCCUCUAUCGACUGACUAUUUUCCUGACUUGGCCCAGGGACGUUACCGUUGAUCAUCUUAACCUACCAUUUGCUAUACCCGGGAGUUGUCAUCGGACCCAUAGCCAAUCUCUUCAUUCGACGAGUAUGACUCUAUGCAUUGACCAUCUCACGAACUCUCUUUUUGUAACCAUUACCCAUAUACAAGAAUUCACACUCGGCCAGUCCUUGAGUUACGGGCACAAACUGCCUUGACCUGUAUUGCCUUAGCACUAGCAAUGGGGCAUAACCAACAGCUCCCCAAAUUCCAAGCAAAGGAACCCAGUCAAAAUCCCCACACCGAUAUAGGAUCUCAUCUGGAAGCAACUACGGAGCUCUCCACUCGAUAUCCUCUUCUUGUAAAUUCUAAAAAAUUACCAUCCAUUUCUCUUCCGAUAUAUCAUCCCUCAUUGGUGUAGCCACUAUCUCCUUCAAUGGUGAAUAAGUUUCAGAGAAGACCAGAUAUAAAACUUUAUCAACCUCUCAAAAGUGACUGUGGAACCAUGCAAGUAGGAGCUGCGCACAUCCAAUGAAUCUACCCUCUCCCGCUCUCCGGCAUGCACUCAGUGACCUGAAGGUUUCUGUCAAAAGUGCCGGGACUGGUGUAACUCUCUUAUCAAGCCGACCAAAUAAGUCAAUGACCACCUCGUUAACAUGUCCCAAAGCCUUAGGGAACACAACCAAACCAUAUAUACUUAAAGCAAAGACAUCUACCUUCUUCCUUGCAACUGGGUGCACUAAAAUGAGGUCCUUCAAAUUUUUCCAAGGAAUGCACUUGCUAUCCCCCUUUUGCUUGAUUCGAGCUGUAACCCACUGCUCACUCAUCCCUGUAAUAUUCAUUAACCUCUUCAAAAAGGUCGGUGCAUUUACAACUUUCAAGUAGACUUUGUCCACUAGAAUCUUCGAACACCGAAGUAAAGCCAUGUAUUCUUCUAUUGUAGGCACCAAAUCGACAUUCCCAAAUGUGAAGCAACUGUAGGCCGGGUUCCAAAACUGGGCAAGAGCUCGAAAUAGACGAUUGUCUAUCUUCAUAUCAAGUAAAUAAGGCAAAUCCCCAUAAUUUAAAUAGAAUAGCUGUCUAACCUCAUUAUUCUAUUGAUCCCAAAUCUCUUUCAACUCCUGCAAGUUGUUCUGGGUUACGCUAACACGGGUGAAGUCCCAUAAUUCUUAUACGUAUCCCUCGGCCUAACUAUCACCUUUUUCGCGCUAUGUCAUCUCAGCCCAAGUUCGGACAGUCGCAUUAUUCUCUACUCUAUCAAAAAACCCUUUUUCCAUGAUAACCUUUCUAUCUAGCAAUCGAAUACGAACCAACGCCUUUUUAUAAUGAAAUGCCAUGUAAUUGUAAUGCUAUGCAAUCAGAGUAAAACACAAAAAGUCAGUAUCAAUUAAAUACAAUACAACCAAUAAAUAGUAAAAACUCCUAAUUAGGUAUCUACUAAGGUUAGGAGUAAUUCAACCUAGGGUGAGUUCCUAAGGUUCACUAUAUGUGGUUUGGCUUCUAGAGCAUAGGUACCUCAACCAGCAGAUUCCUCGAUCCUCACCCAUUAUAGGCUCAUAUGGACUAAAUUCGGUUCAGGGGAAUACAUUUCCCUGUGACUAUAUGGAGAUGUAGAUCUCACGGAGGCAUAGGUACAGAUGUAUCCUGAAAGCGAUCCACUAUCCUAUACAGAGGUGAAAACCUCACGAAGGACUAGCUUCUCACUCCCACUUAGAAGGGUAAGACUAAACAGUCUUUAUGCAAUAUGAUGUGAAGUUAUAAAACUUAAUUUACAAAAACCAUACCACAAAUAAAAUGCAAUGAGAGGAUCGUAAAUUUUCAAAUCAAAUUUUCAAUUUUUGACAAUAAUACAGAAAGCAAUCAAUUUUACAGCUUGACUCUCUAAUAGGUCCUCUGUGGAGUCGCCAAGCUGUUGAAACCAUUUUUUUGAUAAAGCAAAAAGUUUAGUUGUCGACUUUGAAAAACAAAAAUAGGAGUCGCCACCGAUCCUUUAUUGAGGUGUGAUCAGCUCACCUUGAAAACGAUUUUGGCUUGCGAAAUUUGAGAAAACAGGAUCGGGAGUUGGUUACGCACGAUGAAGAGUUAGCACCCUCGUAACGUCCAAAAUUGGUACCGAAUCGAUUGUUUAAUGUCUUAGUGUCAAAAGUUUGAAAAGAUUUUAAAAUACGAUCCUUGUAUUUAAAAGCUUGUAUAAAUCAAAUUACAUGUUAAAACUCUCUUAUUCAGAGAAAAGAAAAUGUCACACCCAGUGCGUUAGAGCAUGAUAUUUCAUAUCCUCAAGAAUAAGCUUGUCCAAAAAACUCAAGCAAUAAAAUUUAAAAGGAUAUUCAAUUGUUUAAGUCAGACGAAGAAAUCGAGACCCAAUACGUUACGGUACAAUUUCUCAGAAUCCAAAAUAUUGAAUAUUGCCUUUAUUUUUUUUAGGAAAAUCUUCAUCUCGAAAAAGCAAGAUGUCAUACCCAAUGCGUUAGGACAUAACAUGUUGAAUUCCUGAAAAUGAUUUUUUGUUUAUGUGUUUUUUUAAAAAAUAUUCUCGAUUAUUUAGGUUUAAUUAGAAAAAUUGGAACCCAAUACGUUAGGGCUCAAUCCUCUCGAAGAUCCCAGAUACCGAAUAUUGCAUUAUCUAAAAAGCCUUUGAACAAAAAAAAAGGGUUUUAAUGCUUUGAAGAAACCAAAUAUAUUUUCCUUAAAAAUGUGAUAGAAUGUUAAUAUACAACAUGAAACAAAUACUUUAAUAUGAAUUAUAUAUGUAUAUAUAUUUACAAAAUAAGUGUAUAUAUAUAAGUAUGAUAUAUAUAAGUAAAACUUGAAAAUAUGUAUAUGCAUAUAUUAAAAUACGUAUAUAUAUGUAUAAUAUGUAUAUAAAAAAAUAAAAUAUAUAUAUAAAAAAUAUUUAUAAUAAUUUAAAACAAAAAAGAAGAAGAAGUGUACGCAUAUACAUAUUAUAAGAAUGUAUGCAUGUAUUUUGAAUUAUAAAAUAUGAAAAUAUAUGCGCAUGUGUAUAUGUAUUAUAAAAUGUAUAUAACAUUUUAAAAUUAUAAAAGACAAAACAAACAAAAAAUGUAUGUAUACAUAAUGAAAAUAACUUAAUAUAAACUAUAUAAAUGAAAAUAAUUUUUUAUAAUAUGUAUAUAUAUAUUAUAUAAGAAAACUUACAGUUAAUAAGUAUUAUAAUAUGAAAUCAAUAAUAUUUAUAUAAAGUGAACAUAAUUUAAUAUAAAUUAUAUAUAUACAUAUAUAAAAUAGUAUUAUAUUAUAUUUUAAAAUAAACUUGAAACAAAUAACGUAUAGAAUAAAAUAUUGUAUACAAAAAAAAGGGUAAAUAUAUAUACAAAUACCACCAUAAUAAUAAGACUAAUACUACUAGUAAUGACAACAGUAAUAAUAAUAAUAAUAAUAAUUAUAAUAACAAACUAAUAUUAAACUUAAUUAGUAAAACAAAUACAAAGGAUAAAGUUAAAAUCAAAACAAAAUUGAAAAAAAAAACGAAAACAAAUUAAAACAAAGGACAAAUUUGCAAAAUGCGCGUAACAUGAAGGGCCAAAAGGGAAAUUAAUCCUGCCCUUCCAAAACGCUGUACAACAUUGGAUUAAAAGAAAAUAGAUUUAAUAUGUCAUGGAAAAAUUUGAAAACAAAAAAAAUCAAUGGUUUUGAAAUGAUGGAAAACAUGAAAGGAUUAAAAACGUAAAUAACCCAUCAAUGCCUAAAACCCAUUUCAAAUCCUAAUUAAAAUCCCUACUCCAUUUGUAACAGCAGCAGCCGCAUUCAUCCUCUCCCCUGCUCUUCACGCCUAAACUUCCCCUUUCAAUCUUCGAUUCAGACGAAGCAUAGCAAGGGCAUCGACGGCGAACCAGCACUGGUAAGAACCUCUUCUCUUCCUCUUUACUUUCGUUUUGCACACCCAGGAAAAUAAAAAACAAAGAAAUAACAAAGAAAGCGAUAAAAAAAUGAAGAAAAUCACCUUCAAAAUCAGACUGCUAUAUUUUAUUCCCUUUUGUACUUCGGUUUACACUUGAUUUCUUUCUUUCUUUUUUGUUUCAAUCUGCCCUCCAAAAAAAAAAGAAAAAACUCUUGAAAAUGGAUCCAUUUUUAUAUCCAAUCCCCCCAGAAAAAACAAACCAUAUUUUCCUAUAAUCCUAUUGCCUCCCUGCUGUUCGUAGCUUGUUGCAGGUACCACUAGUGAGAAGACGUGUGCAGCGUGCGCAGAGGCUACUGAACGUGGGCAGUUGCUGCGACGUGGGGCAUGUGGCGCCGGUUUGCUGCUAACCUGUGUUUGGCUAAUUUGGGCUAGUGCUAUUGGGCUGAAUGGUAUUGGGUCAUUUGGAUUUGGAUUAUUUGUAAAAAUGAACUGUUUAUUGUAUUUAUUAUUUUUUGUGGUCUAUUUAUUUGGGUCCGGACUAAAAUGGACUAUUACAUACAUGUAAAUAGAUUUUUAAACAAACAUUAAAAUAGAUCUUAUUCUAUUGAAUCAUUUAUUUUUCAUAUACAUGUAAACAUGAUACAUAUAUAUUUUUUGAGAUUUUUUUAAGUAUAAUGAUUUAAUUCGCCUCCAAUUUUAUAAAAAUAUUAUUUUAAUUCUUGAUAUAAAUUUUCGUUUUUUAGUUUUUAAAUUUUUUUUGUCAAAUCACUUUAAAAUAAUAAAAAAAUUAAUGUUUUUAACUUUGUUAAUGUUGCAUAC